AUGCAAGGGCUUAACCGGAUAAACAAUGCUGAGGAGCUGCGCCAGUUUGUUCAGCUUUGGACCAAGGUUCAAGGGACAACAUUGUCGACGGAGAAGGAUGCCAUCGUUUGGAACCUCACUGCCAAUGGUGUAUAUCCGGCCUGCUCGGCCUACGAGGCCCAAUUUUUCUCUAGGAUUGAGAGGCCACGGUUGGCCAGAGUGUGGACGAGCAAGAUGGAGGGGAAAGUGAGGUUCUUCUUAUGGCUCUUGCUCCAGAACAGAAACUGGACUGCUGACCGAUUGCAAGCAAGAGGCUGGACACAUAAUGAUCUCUGCAAGCUCUGCAAUCAGGAACCUGAAACUGCGAACCAUAUUGCUCUGCUCUGCCCUUUUGCCAAGGAGAUUUGGUUCCAGUUCCGACGUGCUCACGAUGCCAUGUGUGUUGUGGCCGAUGACGCGCAGACCAUGGGCGAGUGGUGGGAAAGGUUGUGCUCUGCCAGAGGGUCGAGGGAGCAAUGCAGGGAGGACAUGACCGUGGCUGCCUACAUAGUGUGGAACCUCUGGAAGGAGAGGAAUCGACGAGUCUUCGAGCAUAAGCAACUGACAGUUCUUGCGCUGACUGGGCUCAUCAAGGAUGACAUCAAGUGUUUUGGGGAGGCAACUAGAGGGGUUCACACUGUUGGGUUGUAA
rnacentral:rRNA from 1 species